AACGAACGCUGGCGGCAGGCCUAACACAUGCAAGUCGAACGCCCCGCAAGGGGAGUGGCAGACGGGUGAGUAACGCGUGGGAACCUACCUAGUGGUACGGAACAACUCGGGGAAACUUGAGCUAAUACCGUAUACGCCCUCCGGGGGAAAGAUUUAUCGCCAUUAGAUGGGCCCGCGUCGGAUUAGCUAGUUGGUGAGGUAAUGGCUCACCAAGGCUUCGAUCCGUAGCUGGUCUGAGAGGAUGAUCAGCCACACUGGGACUGAGACACGGCCCAGACUCCUACGGGAGGCAGCAGUGAGGAAUAUUGGACAAUGGGCGCAAGCCUGAUCCAGCCAUGCCGCGUGAGUGAAGAAGGCCUUAGGGUUGUAAAGCUCUUUCGACGGGGAAGAUAAUGACGGUACCCGUAGAAGAAGCCCCGGCUAACUUCGUGCCAGCCGCCGCCGUAAAAC
rnacentral:rRNA from 1 species